AUUGAACGCUGGCGGCAGGCUUAACACAUGCAAGUCGAGCGAGCGGCGGACGGGUGAGUAAUGUCUGGGAAACUGCCUGAUGGAGGGGGAUAAAUACUGGAAACGGUAGCUAAUACCGCAUACCAUCAGAUGUGCCCAGAUGGGAUUAGCUAGGAGGUGGGGUAAUGGCUCACCUAGGCGACGAUCCCUAGCGGGUCUGAGAGGAUGACCAGCCACACGGGAACUGAGACACGGUCCAGACGCUGACGGGAGGCAGCAGUGGGGAAUAUUGCAAAAUGGGCGCAAGCCUGAUGCAGCCAUGCGGCGGUUGUGAAGAAGGCCUUCGGGUUGUAAAGCACUUUCAGCGAGGAGGCGUUACUCGCAGAAGAAGCACCGGCUAACUCCGUGCCAGCCGCCGCGGUAAUUC
rnacentral:rRNA from 1 species